rnacentral:rRNA from 1 species
CCUACGGGAGGCAGCAGUGGGGAAUUUUGGACAAUGGGCGCAAGCCUGAUCCAGCAAUGCCGCGUGCAGGAUGAAGGCCUUCGGGUUGUAAACUGCUUUUGUACGGAACGAAACGGUGAGCUCUAAUAAAGUUUGCUAAUGACGGUACCGUAAGAAUAAGCACCGGCUAACUACGUGCCGGCAGCCGCGGUAAUACGUAGGGUGCGAGCGUUAAUCGGAAUUACUGGGCGUAAAGCGUGCGCAGGCGGUUAUAUAAGACAGAUGUGAAAUCCCCGGGCUCAACCUGGGACCUGCAUUUGUGACUGUAUAGCUAGAGUACGGUAGAGGGGGAUGGAAUUCCGCGUGUAGCAGUGAAAUGCGUAGAUAUGCGGAGGAACACCGAUGGCGAAGGCAAUCCCCUGGACCUGUACUGACGCUCAUGCACGAAAGCGUGGGGAGCAAACAGGAUUAGAUACCCUGGUAGUCCACGCCCUAAACGAUGUCAACUGGUUGUUGGGUCUUCACUGACUCAGUACGAAGCUAACGNGNGAGUGACGCGNGGAGACGCGCGAGUAGACGACAGAGAGUAGACGNGNGAGAGNGCGAGACGACGACGAGGGAGGAGG